SUKYMSAAUUCGCCCUUAGAGUUUGAUCCWGGCUCAGGAUGAACGCUGGCGGCGUGGAUAAGGCAUGCAAGUCGAGUGGGUUUAGACCCACGGCAGACGAGGUAGGAACACGUAGGUAUGUACCCUCAAGUCGGAGAUAACCCAUCGAAAGGUGGAGUAAUAUUCGAUAGUCCCUCCGGGGUAAAGGCGCAAGCCGCUUGAGGAACAGCCUGCGGGCUAUCAGCUAGUUGGUAGGGUAAUGGCCUACCAAGGCGAUGACGGCUAGGGGAGCUGAGAGGCUGACCCCCACCGAUGGAACUGAGACACGGUCCAUACUCCUACGGGAGGCAGCAGUGGGGAAUUUUGCGCAAUGGGGGAAACCCUGACGCAGCAACGCCGCGUGAGUGAUGAAGGCUUUCGGGUCGUAAAGCUCUGUCAGAGGGGAAGAAAUGAGACUGGYUAAUAUCCRGYWYUMWUGACGGUACCYKMARARKAAGCACCGGCUAACUMCGUGCCAGCAGCCGCGGUAAUAC
rnacentral:rRNA from 1 species